rnacentral:rRNA from 1 species
CGGACGGGUGAGUAACGCGUGGAAAACCUGCCGUAUACUGGGGGAUAACACUUAGAAAUAGGUGCUAAUACCGCAUAAGCGCACAGCUUCGCAUGAAGCGGUGUGAAAAACUCUGGUGGUAUACGAUGGUUCCGCGUCUGAUUAGCUAGUUGGUGGGGGUAAUGGCCUACCAAGGCAACGAUCAGUAGCCGGCCUGAGAGGGUGAACGGCCACAUUGGGACUGAGACACGGCCCAAACUCCUACGGGAGGCAGCAG